rnacentral:rRNA from 1 species
GGGUGGUAAUGCCGGAUGCUCCAGUUGGAUGCAUGUCCUUCUGGGAAAGAUUCAUCGGUAUGGGAUGGGGUCGCGUCCUAUCAGCUUGAUGGCGGGGUAACGGCCCACCAUGGCUUCGACGGGUAGCCGGCCUGAGAGGGCGACCGGCCACAUUGGGACUGAGAUACGGCCCAGACUCCUACGGGAGGCAGCAGUGGGGAAUAUUGCACAAUGGGCGCAAGCCUGAUGCAGCGACGCCGCGUGCGGGAUGACGGCCUUCGGGUUGUAAACCGCUUUUGACUGGGAGCAAGCCCUUUGGGGUGAGUGUACCUUUCGAAUAAGCACCGGCUAACUACGUGCCAGCAGCCGCGGUAAUACGUAGGGUGCAAGCGUUAUCCGGAAUUAUUGGGCGUAAAGGGCUCGUAGGCGGUUCGUCGCGUCCGGUGUGAAAGUCCAUCGCUUAACGGUGGAUCCGCGCCGGGUACSGGCGGGCUUGAGUGCGGUAGGGGAGACUGGAAUUCCCGGUGUAACGGUGGAAU